CCGUUGCCGGCGACCGGCGCACGGUGAGUAACACGUAUGCAACCUGCCCGUGGCAGGGGGAUAAGCGGGGAAACCCCGUCUAAUACCGCGUAACGCGGCCUUGGGGCAUCCCAAGGCCGCCAAAGGGAGCAAUCCCGGCCACGGAUGGGCAUGCGGCGCAUUAGCUAGUCGCGGGGUAACGGCCCACCGAGGCGACGAUGCGUAGGGGUUCUGAGAGGAAGGCCCCCCACACUGGUACUGAGACACGGACCAGACUCCUACGGGAGGCAGCAG
rnacentral:rRNA from 1 species